AUUGAACGCUGGCGGCAGGCCUAACACAUGCAAGUCGAACGAGUGGCGGACGGGUGAGUAAUGUAUGGGAAACUGCCUGAUGGAGGGGGAUAACUAAUGGAAACGGUAGCUAAUACCGCAUACCAUCAGAUGCGCCCAGAUGGGAUUAGCUAGUAGGUGGGGUAAUGGCUCAACUAGGCGACGAUCCCUAGCUGGUCUGAGAGGAUGAACAGCCACACUGGAACUGAGACACGGUCCAGACUCCUCCGGGAGGCAGCAGUGGGGAAUAUUGCACAAGGGGCGCAAGCCUGAUGCAGCCAUGCCGCGUGUAUGAAGAAGGCCUUCGGGUUGUAAAGUACUUUCAGCGAGGAGGCGUUACUCGCAGAAGAAGCACCGGCUAACUCCGUGCCAGCAGCCGCGGUAAUAC
rnacentral:rRNA from 1 species